AGAACGAACGCUGGCGGCAUGCCUAACACAUGCAAGUCGAACGCUUUUGGGGCUUCGGUCCCAAAGGAGUGGCGCACGGGUGAGUAGCGCGUGGGAACCUGCCCUGUUGUGGGGGAUAACCGAGGGAAACUUCGGCUAAUACCGCAUACGCCCGGGGGAAACUCCGGGGAAAGAUUUAUCGCAGCAGGAGGGGCCCGCGUCGGAUUAGGUAGUUGGUGGGGUAACGGCCCACCAAGCCUGUGAUCCGUAGCUGGUCUGAGAGGAUGAUCAGCCACACUGGGACUGAGACACGGCCCAGACUCCUACGGGAGGCAGCAGUGGGAAUAUUGGACAAUGGGCGCAAGCCUGAUCCAGCAAUGCCGCGUGAGUGAUGAAGGCCUUCGGGUUGUAAAGCUCUUUCGCACGCGACGAUGAUGACGGUAGCGUGAGAAGAAGCCCCGGCUAACUUCGUGCCAGCAGCCGC
rnacentral:rRNA from 1 species